rnacentral:misc_RNA from 1 species
GAUGAAGAACGUAGCGAAAUGCGAUACGUAGUGUGAAUUGCAGAAUUCAGUGAAUCAUCGAAUCUUUGAACGCACAUUGCGCCCGCCAGUAUUCUGGCGGGCAUGCCUGUUCGAGCGUCAUUUCAACCCUCAAGCCCAGCUUGGUGUUGGGGAUCGGCACAGGCGCCCUCGGGCGCCCGCCGUCCCCUAAAUCUAGUGGCGGUCCCGCUGCAGCCUCCUCUGCGUAGUAGUUUUCUCCUCGCAAGGGCAGCUCGGUGGCGACCUCGCCGUAAAACCCCCAACUUCUGAAAGGUUGACCUCGAAUCAGGUAGGAAUACCCGCUGAACUUAAGCAUAUCAAUAAGCGGAGGA